rnacentral:lncRNA from 1 species
GUGAUCCUCACAUCUCAACCUACUGAGUAGCUGGGACUACAGGGGUGGGAACCGCCAAACCUCUCCCUUCUUUUUGACUUCACCCUUGGAUACCAUCAAGGCCAGAGGAUGGAACCAAGAUAACAUAAAAUAGGUGCUCCUUUGUGAUAAUGGGCUAUUUGUAUCUCUGAGGGCUUCCACACAGGAUGGCCAUUCAAGAAGCUUCUGCUCUGCCUUUCAUUACAGUCUAUCUUUAGUCCUCCUAAACCUUCAGCUAUAAUCUCUAUGCAAUCAACUUAAAUAUAUGUUUGUAGUAUUGUCCCUUUCUCCCAAAUUCCAUGUAAAACACUUGCCUGAAUUGAAUUGUUUCCACAAAGUUGUUUUCCCCUGUGGACUUUGUUUAUAUCAGUAGUUUUUAUUUUCCCAAUUUUCCAAAUUCAAGAGUGAUAAUUAUAAAUAGUUGUGUUCUUGUUUGUUAUCUUUCUCACUAGAAUGUAUACUCUAAGAAGGCAAGAACCUUGCUUGCUUUAUUCAUUGUUGUAUUCCUAGCUUCUGUUACAGUGUCUGGCACAAGAGUAAGUGCUCAAUAAAAAUUUAAAAUCCACGUGUGAAUAAAUGUGAUUACCAUGUGCCCUACCGUAUAUUGAGAAAAAUAAGAAUACAUGUGAAAAGCACGAGAUUAAA